rnacentral:rRNA from 1 species
UGGGGAAUCUUGCGCAAUGGACGAAAGUCUGACGCAGCGACGCCGCGUGGGCGACGAAGGCCUUCGGGUUGUAAAGCCCUGUGGGUAGGGACGAACACACUGAGAGCGAAUAGGUCUUGGUGCUGACGGUACCUGCUUAGCAAGCACCGGCUAACUCUGUGCCAGCAGCCGCGGUAAGACAGAGGGUGCAAACGUUGCUCGGAAUUACUGGGCGUAAAGCGCGUGUAGGCGGUUUCGCAAGUCAGGUGUGAAAGCCCGGGGCUCAACCCCGGAAGUGCACUUGAUACUACGGAGCUGGAGUACUGAAGAGGAGAGCGGAAUUCCCGGUGUAGAGGUGAAAUUCGUAGAUAUCGGGAGGAACACCAGUGGCGAAGGCGGCUCUCUGGGCAGAUACUGACGCUGAGACGCGAAAGCGUGGGUAGCAAACAGGAUUAGAUACCCGCGUAGUCC